UACGUAGGGAGCAAGCGUUGUCCGGAAUCAUUGGGCGUAAAGCGCGCGUAGGUGGCUUCAUACGUCCGUUGUGAAAGUCAAAGGCUCAACCUUUGAAAGCCGAUGGAUACUGUGAAGCUAGAGUACGGAAGAGGCGAGUGGAAUUCCUGGUGUAGCGGUGGAAUGCGCAGAUAUCAGGAGGAACACCAAUAGCGAAGGCAGCUCGCUGGGACGUUACUGACACUGAGGCGCGAAAGCGUGGGGAGCGAACAGG
rnacentral:rRNA from 1 species